GACGUAGGAUGCAAGCGUUGUCCGGAUUUAUUGGGCGUAAAGAGUUCGUAGGCGGUUCGUUAAGUCUGAUGUUAAAGCCUGGGGCUCAACCCCGGGAGUGCAUUGGAUACUGGCGGACUGGAGUGUGGUAGAGGCUAGUGGAAUUCCCAGUGUAGCGGUGAAAUGCGUAGAUAUUGGGAAGAACACCAGUGGCGUAGGCGACUAGCUGGGCCAUAACUGACGCUGAGGAACGAAAGCUAGGGGAGCAAACAGG
rnacentral:rRNA from 1 species